rnacentral:rRNA from 1 species
AGGGCGGGACACGUGGUAUCCUGUCUGAAUAUGGGGGGACCAUCCUCCAAGGCUAAAUACUCCUGACUGACCGAUAGUGAACCAGUACCGUGAGGGAAAGGCGAAAAGAACCCCGGCGAGGGGAGUGAAAAAGAACCUGAAACCGUGUACGUACAAGCAGUGGGAGCACGCUUAGGCGUGUGACUGCGUACCUUUUGUAUAAUGGGUCAGCGACUUAUAUUCUGUAGCAAGGUUAACCGAAUAGGGGAGCCGAAGGGAAACCGAGUCUUAACUGGGCGUUAAGUUGCAGGGUAUAGACCCGAAACCCGGUGAUCUAGCCAUGGGCAGGUUGAAGGUUGGGUAACACUAACUGGAGGACCGAACCGACUAAUGUUGAAAAAUUAGCGGAUGACUUGUGGCUGGGGGUGAAAGGCCAAUCAAACCGGGAGAUAGCUGGUUCUCCCCGAAAGCUAUUUAGGUAGCGCCUCGUGAAUUCAUCUCCGGGGGUAGAGCACUGUUUCGGCAAGGGGGU